rnacentral:lncRNA from 1 species
UCUUAGGGAGGGGUUAGGGGUUAGGGGUUGGAAGGUAUGAGGGGUUGGGGGUUGGGUUUCGAGGUUUAGACUUUUUGAGGUUUCGACGUUUUGGGGUUUUGGGGGUUGGGGGUUGAGGGUUGGGGGUUUGGUGUUUGGGGGAUGGGAGGUUGGAAGGUUGCAAGGUUUGGGGUCUGGGUUUAGGCGUUUUGGUUUCGAGGUUCAAACUUUUCGAGGUUUUGAGGUUUGUGGUUUUGGGGUUAUAGGUUUCGAGGUUUGAGGUUUGUGAGGUUCGAGGUUCGAGUUUUGGGGUUCGCGGUUAAGGGUUUGGGGUUAGGGGUUAAGGGUACUUUAGGGUUUAGUGUUUAGGAUUUUGGGUUUGGAUUUCGGGAUUGGGGAUUGGGGUUUGGGGUUUGUGGGUUGGGGUACUUUGGGGUUAAAGUUUAGGAUUUAUGGUUUACGGAUUUAGGGGUUUAGGGGUUUACGGUUUAGGGUGCAUGGAUCGGUUCGGAGUUCGUGAUUUCAAGAUUCGGGGUGGCGCAUUUGGGGUUUCAUAGUUUAAGGUUUAGGUUAGAGUUAUAGAGUUGUGUGUUAUUAGCUUUCGAGACGAUGACCAAUAUUAAUCAAAGUUUGAUACCCAAAAUGCAUGUAAUUCGAAUCAUAAUAAGAAACUCAAAAUUUCAAACCAAUCCAUAAUACAAAAUGCAUAGAUAUUCCCUAACUAAUAGAAAUUGUUAUCUCCACCAACAAAGUUUGAAGUUAGGAUUACAGGUUUCAGAUUUCGAGUUUCAGGGUUUUGGGGUUGGUGGUUGGGGGUUUGGAGGUUUAGAGGUUUGGGGGCUGGGUUUCGAGGUUUGGGGUUUUGGGGUUUCAUGUUUUGUGUUCAGGGUUCGAGGUUCGAGGUUUGGGGUUAAGGGUACUUUAGGGUUUAGUGUUUAGGAUUUUAGGGUUCUGGUUUCGAGAUUGGGGAUUUGGGGUUCAGGGUUCGUGGUUUGGGGUACUUUAGGGUUUAUGGUUAAGGGGUUAAAGUUUAGGAUUUAUGAUUUACGGCUUUAGGUUUUUAGGGGUUUAAGGUUUAGUGUUUUAGGUUUCAAGGUUUAGGGUGCUUGGAUCGGUUUGGGGUUCGUGAUUUCGGGUUUAGGGUAGAGCGUUUGGGGUUUCAAGUUUUAGGUUUCAGGGUUUUGGGGUUUUCGGGAUUUUGGGUUUGGGGGUUGGGUUAGGGGUUUUAGGUUUCGAGGUUUAGACUUUUCGAGGUUUCGAGGUUUGUGGUUUUGGGGUUUCAAGUUUCGUGUUCAGGGUUCGAGGUACGGGGUUCGGGGUUAAGGGUACUUUAAGGUUUAGUGUUUAAGAUUUUAGGGUUCGGGUUUCGAGAUUAGGGUUUGGGGUUCGUGGUUUGCGGUACUUUAGGGUUUAGGGUUUAGGGUAGAGUUUUAGGGCUGUGUGUACUUAGAUUCCAAGACGAUGACUAGUAUUAAUCAAAGUUUGAUACCCAAAAUGCAUGUAAUUCGAAUCAUAAUAAGAAACUCCAACUUUCAAACCAAUCCAUAAUACAAAGUGCUUAAAUAUUCCCUAAAUAAUAGAAAUUAUUAUCUCCACCAAUAAAGUUUGAAGUUAGGAUUACAGGUUUAGAGGUUUGGAGGUUGGAAGGUUUGAGGGGUUGGGUUUAGUGGUUUCAAGGUUUUAGGGUUUGGAAGUUUGGGAGUUGAGGGUUGGAGGGUUUGAGGGUUGGGUUUAGGGGUUUUGGGUUUCGAGGUUUAGACUCUUCGAGGUUUCAAGGUUUGUGGUUUUGGGGUUUUCGAUUUCGAGUUCAGGGUUCGAGGUUCAAGGUUCGAGGUACGGGGUUCAGGAUUCGGGAUUUGAAAUUAAGGGUACUUUAGGGUUUAGUUUUUAGGAUUUUGGGUUUGGAUUUCAGGAUAAGGGUUUGGGGUUCGGAGUUCGUGGUUUGGGGUACUUUGGGGUUUAUGGAUUAGGUGUUAAAGUUUAGGAUUUAUGGUUUAUGGUUUAGGUUUUUGAGGGUUUAAGGUUUAAGGUUUUAGGUGCAUGGAUCGGUUUGGGAUUCGUGAUUUCAGGAUUCGGGGUGUGGCGUUUGGGAUUUCAGGGUUUAGGGUUUAGGAUUUAGGUUAGAGUUAUAGGGUUGUGUGUUAUUAGAUUUUGAGACGAUGACCAAUAUUAAUCAAAGUUUGAUACCCAUAAUAAGAAGCUCAAUUUUGGAGGGUUUGGAGGGUUGGAGGGUUUGGAAGUUUGGGAGUUGAGGGUUGGAGGGUUUGAGGGUUGGGUUUAAGGGUUUUGGGUUUCGAGGUUUAGGGUUGGGGUUUUGAAGGUUUAGGGGUUAGGGGUUGGAAGGUUUGAGGGGUUAGGGGUUGGGUUUCGAGGUUUAGACUUUUCAAGGUUUCGACGUUUUGGGGUUUUGGGGGUUGGGGGUUGGGGGGUUGGAGGUUUGGGGGAUAGGAGGUUGGAAGGUUUGGGGUUUGGGUUUAGGGGUUUUGGUUUCGAGGUUCAAACUUUUCGAGGUUUUGAGGUUUGUGGUUUUGGGGUUAUAGGUUUUGAAGUUCGAGGUUUGAGAUUCGAGGUUCGAGUUUCAGAGUUCGGGGUUCAGGGUUCGGGGUUAGGGGUUAAGGGUACUUUAGGGAUUAGUGUUUAGUAUUUUGGGUUUGGAUUUCGGGAUUGGGGAUUGGGGUUUGGGGUUUGUGGGUUGGGGUAUACUGUGGGGUUUACGGUUUAGUGAGUUAAAGUUUAGGAUUUAUGGUUUACGAUUUUAGGGGUUUAGGGGUUUAGGGUUUAGGGUGCAUGGAUCGGUUCGGAGUUCGGGAUUUCAAGAUUCGGGGUGGGAGCGUUUGGGGUUUCAUAAUAAGGUUUAGGUUAGAGUUCUAGGGUUGUGUGUUAUUAGAUUCUGAGACGAUGACCAAUAUUAAUCAAAGUUUAAUACCCAAAAUGCAUGUAAUUCGAAUCAUAUAAUAAGAAACUCAAAAUUUCAAACCAAUCCAUAAUACAAAAUGCAUAGAUAUUCCCUAACUAAUAGAAAUUGUUAUCUCCACCAACAAAGUUUGAAGUUAGGAUUACAGGUUUCAGAUUUCGAGUUCAGGGAUUAGGGGUUUUGGGGUUGGGGGUUGGGGGUUUGGAGGUUUGGAGGUUAGGGGGUUGGGUUUCGAGGUUUGUGGUUUUGGGGUUUCAGGUUUCGUGUUCAGGGUUCAAG